GAUGAAGAACGUAGCAAAAUGCGAUACUUGGUGUGAAUUGCAGAAUCCCGUGAACCAUCGAGUUGUUGAACGCAAGUUGCGCCCGAAGCCUUUUGGCCGAGGGCACGUCUGCCUGGGCGUCACGCAUCGCGUCGCCCCCCACAAUUCUCCGUAAAGGGAACGUGUGUUUUGGGGGCGGAUAUUGGUCUCCCGUGCUCAUGGCGUGGUUGGCCGAAAUAGGAGUCCUUUCGAUGGACGCACGAACUAGUGGUGGUCGUAAAAACCCUCGUCUUUUGUUUCGUGCUGUUGCUCGCAAGGUAAACUCUUUAAAAACCCCAAUGUGUCGUCUCUUGACGACGCUUCGACCGCGACCCCAGGUCAGGCGGGACUACCCGCUGAGUUUAAGCAUAUCAAUAAGCGGAGGA
rnacentral:misc_RNA from 1 species